rnacentral:piRNA from 1 species
UGACCCAUCGACUUGCAGAGUUUAGAGUCCCU